GCUUUUGGAAUUAUUAUCAAAAAGUCCUGCCUGCCCGGUGAAUUUUUAAAAUUUUAACGGCUGCGGUACUCUGACCGUGCAAAGGUAGCAUAAUCAUUAGCCUGUUAAUUUCAGGAUGGAAUCAAGGGCAAGACGAAGGAAAUGCUGUCUCUUUCUAUCAAUUUAGAAUUUUUCAUUUUGGUGAAGAGACCAAAAUAAUAGAGUGGGACAAGAAGACCCUAUUGAGUUUGAGUAAAGUUAAAGAGAAUUUUUUUGAUAGUUACUUUGGUUGGGGAAACUAUUUAUAAAAUUAGAUAUUUUUUUAAAUUAAGAAGAAUUAAAUCUUUGUAGUGAUCCAAAAGUUUAUUUUGAAGUUAGAAAAAAUUACCAUAGGGAUAACAGCGUAAUUCUUUUUGAGAGUACAUAUUGACAAAGGAGUUUGCGACCUCGAUGUUGGAUCAAGUUUUCCUGAAGGUGCAGCAGCUUUCAAGGGUUGGUUUGUUCAACCAUGAAAAUCUU
rnacentral:rRNA from 1 species